AACAAACGCUGGCGGCGUGCCUAACACAUGCAAGUCGUACGAGAAAGUCGGCUUCGGCCGAUGAGUACAGUGGCGCACGGGUGAGUAGCGCGUGGGUAAUCUGCCCCCCGGUCAGGAAUAACCCGCCGAAAGGCGGGCUAAUACCCGAUAACACUGACGCUCCGCGGAGCGUCUUUCAAAGAAGGCCUCUGUUUACAAGCUUUCGCCGGAGGAUGAGCCCGCGUACCAUUAGCUAGUUGGCAGGGUAAUGGCCUACCAAGGCUACGAUGGUUAGCUGGUCUGAGAGGAUGGCCGGCCACACUGGAACUGAGACACGGUCCAGACUCCUACGGGAGGCAGCAGUGGGGAAUAUUGGGCAAUGGGGGAGACCCUGACCCAGCGACGCCGCGUGAGGGACGAAGGUUUUCGGAUCGUAAACCUCUGUUGUACGGGAAGAAGGAAUUGACGGUACCGUACGAGUAAAGCCCCGGCAAAACUACGUG
rnacentral:rRNA from 1 species